UAAAACAUUGACACAGUAAACAUCGCGGGAAUAUUACGUUUGUUUAUUUCCGAGGAACGAACACAAAACUCCAUUCUGCGUGGAAUGUUCGAGCGAUGAAAAAGAGGCCCUUGACGUACCGUACUGAUGAUGUUCACAAUCAGCGUCUCUCUGACGGUGAACACGGAGUCGCCGCACGUGUUCUCGGCGUUCACGGCUCCGGAACUUUUGAAAUCGAAUCCGCCCGGAUUAUGGGCGUACACCAGGUACUCUGCAUGGAGAUGCAAACACUGCUUAAUUGGUCGUUGUCGGCUCAUGUCCUACUUAAAAGUACCCCGGAUUUGACAGAUGACAUCAAGCAGAUACGACGUCAUCAGAAUCUUUAAGGCUGAAUGAGUUUAGCUCCAGAGCGGAAACGGAAGUGUCUUCUAGGAACUGAUAUGACGUCAUAGGAAACGACGUUAGAACUGGAUCCUACGAGGAAAUGGAUUUUAAAAUAAAUUUCAUUUACAAUUGCAAAAUGGUUUAUAACCGUGUAUUGCUUUCCCCGAGAUUAAAUAAAGAGACCUCUGGAAGCAAAAGAUGAAGCGUUACCACUUUGUUAGGCUUGCUGAAGAAAAUAUGAGAAGAAAAACGCUUUUUUGAUAAGUUUUUGCGCAUUCUCGAGAAAAAAAAGCGUUACAAAAUCUGUCAUUAUUUUUCCGAUUACGCGUGAUGAAUAGCCAUAAAUGAAACAAUAUCUCCUUUAAACAUAUAGUAAAAAUUCUUCUUAGAAUCUAUAACAAUUAUUUUAAAAACCGUCAUUUAACCAAACUUUGAAUGAAAAAGUCAUUUUAAGGUCAACCACGAUUCCGGUAUCCUACAGACGUACCUCAUCAACGAUAUUGACGUUGAAAGUCCCGGUGAUGACGUUGACGGGGUUGCCGUCAGUACACCGUAUCGUUAACGUCAACGGCACGGCCUGGUCGUUGAAGUCGAUGGCAGCUUCAGUCACGGUGCUAGAGAUCCUGACUUCAAAUUCUAGGAAUUAAACAGCACAAAAAAUCAUUUGCUUGUGCGCAUAACGAGAGUAUUUCAUCGAAAAAAGAGACAUUAAAAAAAUUACAAAUAAUCACACUUGUCACACAUACUUUCAAUAGCUUAUGAAAAACGAAGAUUUUCAAAGAUCGAAGCGUUUACUUGUUUCAA